GCGCAAGAAUUUUAGUCGGUGCAAGAAUUUUACUUGGUGCACACCGAGCAAAUAAUUUCAGAUACUGCUUGGUGCAGGUUAUAUUUUUUUAACCUCAUAAUUUUAUAAGGAUCAUAAAAGACUAAUAUUAAAAUAUCUAAAAGCUUUCUAUUAAAGAAAAAUACUUUUCACCAAGUAAUUCCACUUGGUGCAGCACCGAGCAAAUAUGCUUGGUG
rnacentral:lncRNA from 1 species